rnacentral:rRNA from 1 species
AACGAACGCUGACGGCAUGCCUAACACAUGCAAGUCGAACGAGACCUUCGGGUCUAGUGGCGCACGGGUGCGUAACGCGUGGGAAUCUGCCCUUGGGUUCGGAAUAACAGCGAGAAAUUGCUGCUAAUACCGGAUGAUGACGUAAGUCCAAAGAUUUAUCGCCCAAGGAUGAGCCCGCGUAGGAUUAGCUAGUUGGUGAGGUAAAGGCUCACCAAGGCGACGAUCCUUAGCUGGUCUGAGAGGAUGAUCAGCCACACUGGGACUGAGACACGGCCCAGACUCCUACGGGAGGCAGCAGUGGGGAAUAUUGGACAAUGGGCGAAAGCCUGAUCCAGCAAUGCCGCGUGAGUGAUGAAGGCCUUAGGGUUGUAAAGCUCUUUUACCCGGGAUGAUAAUGACAGUACCGGGAGAAUAAGCUCCGGCUAACUCCGUGCCAGCAGCCGCGGUAAU